GAUGAACGCUGGCGGCGUGCCUAAUACAUGCAAGUCGAGCGGACAGACGAGGAGCUUGCUCCUCUUACGUUAGCGGCGGACGGGUGAGUAACACGUGUAUAACCGACCUAUGAGACUGGGAUAACGUCGGGAAACCGGAGCUAAUACCGGAUAAUAUAUUGAACCGCAUGGUUCAAUAGUGAAAGACGGUUUUGCUGUCACUUAUAGAUGGAUCCUCGCCGCAUUAGCUAGUUGGUAAGGUAACGGCUUACCAAGGCGACGAUGCGUAGCCGACCUGAGAGGGUGAUCGGCCACACUGGAACUGAGACACGGUCCAGACUCCUACGGGAGGCAGCAGUAGGGAAUCUUCGGCAAUGGGCGAAAGCCUGACGGAGCAACGCCGCGUGAGUGAUGAAGGUCUUCGGAUCGUAAAACUCUGUUAUUAGGGAAGAACAAAUGUGUAAGUAAAUAUGCAUGUCUUGACGGUACCUAAUCAGAAAGCCACGGCUAACUACGUG
rnacentral:rRNA from 1 species